rfam:Myotis lucifugus cont2.47309, whole genome shotgun sequence.
GAGACACCCCUCCGGGCAAGACUUGCCUCAGUGGGGCUUUGGUGCUCACUGAGUCUGCCCCCUGAGUGUGUCCCU